UCCAGGAGCCCUCACCGAACGAGAAUAUGCAGAAGUGGCCGUGAGCAGCCUGGACAUCCUUCUAAGGAGACCUCAACAGUCCUCAGGUUUCUGCCUUCUGCCUAACUGGCUUAGCAAGAGAAAAGAAGUCACAGGCCAGAGUCUACUGCCCUCGUGCAAUGGAAAGAGAGCAAGAGCGAUGAGUCUGCAAGCGUUGUUGAUGCGAGGCAGAAGGCGUCCAUCUGGGAGCGGAACCGCCACCACUCUCAAUGAGAUAAGUGUCGUCUUUGGUGAUCGCUCUGCUCAAGGCCCAUCUUGCUCCCGGUAGGGACGCCCCGUUAGCUGGGGCUGGGUUUGUAAGAAAAGGUUCCUGACUAGUUGUGGUUACAAGGGAGACGAUGUCCCCAUUUUCAGGGGCUGCUCAUGUCUCUGGCUAGGACCAGUGUGUCCUCCGCAGCAUAUUAGAUCCAGGGGGAUGACUCCAGCUGAGGAAUUGUCCAGGAGCAGCAGCCGGAGGAGAAAUUGGCAGACGUGGGCCUGAGGAGCCUGGACAUUCUUCUAAGGAGACAUGAACAGUCCUCAGCCUUCUGCCUCGUGCAUAACUGGCUGUGGUACCAAGGGAAAAGAAGUGACAAGUCAGUGUCUACUGCCCUCAUGCGAUGGAAAGCGAGCGAGAGUGAUGGGACUGCGAGAAUUAUUGAUGCCUUGAAAAAGCCGUCCAACUGGGAAUGGAACAGUCAUCGCUGUCAAUGAGAUAAGUGUCUGUUUUGGUGAUUGCUCUGCUCACGGCCCACCUUGCUCCUGAAAGGGAUGCCCCGUUUGAGGCUGUUUGUAAGAAAAGGUUCCUGACUAGCUGUGGUUUUGAGAGAGAGAGAGAAGAUCCCCAUUUUUAGGGGCUGCUCAGUUUUCUGGCCAGGAGCAGUGUGUCCUACGCAGCAGAAGGUUGCAUCUAGGAGAAUGAGUCCAGGUGGUGAAUUGCUUGCCUUUCUCUCGUAUUUCUCUCUCCUCUCUAGUGUGUUGGCCAACACUCUUUCUCAAUCUGUCCUUGCCUUUCCUUGUGCUGUCUCCCUUCUUAGGAUAUCGGCAGGCGAGCUAGGUGUGCACCCCCACAGGUUGUGUCUUGGGAGCCAUAAAGAAGUAGGAGGGGACAAAAAUCAUGCGGGGCAGUCGGUGCGAGACUGGAGCGAUGACUGUUGGUGUUGUGGGGCUAAGACAGAUCGACAGCGACGCAGGGAAGAGGGCCUUAAUUGGGCUCUAUGUAGUGCAGGAGUUCUUAAACUGGGGUUUAGGUCCCGUCAGGUGGCCGCAAGGUUGUCAUCUGGGGGGUUAUGAAAUGUCAUCCUCCAUCCUAAACAUCACCUUGCUUCCAGCAUUUAUAAUGGUGUUGAAUACACAAAAAGUGUUUUUAAUUUAUAAGGGGAGGGUCACACUCAGAAGCUUUCUAUGUAAAAGGGAUCAUCAGUACAAAAGGUUGAGAACCACUGGUGUAGUGAUAGUUCUUGCUUGCCUUCAUUAAUUUGCAGAGGAAUUGUCCAGGAGUCUCAGCUGGAGAAGAAGCUGGCAGAAGUGGACCUGAACUGCCUAGACAUCCUUCUAAGGAGACAUGAACAGUCCUCAGCUUUCUGCAUUCUGGAUAACUGGCUAUGAUACCAAGGAAAAAUAAGUCACAUGUCAGUCUACUGCCCUCAUGCAAUGGAAAGUGAGUGAGAGCAGCGAGCCUGUGAGCAUUGUUCAUGCCAGGCAAGAGCCGUUCAUUUGGGAGCCAAGCAGAUGUCACUGUCAGUGAGAUAAGUGUCUGUUUUGCUGAGGGUUCUGUUAUCAGCCAAUCUGACUCCAGGUACAGACACCCUGUUAGCUGGGGCUGAUUUGUCAGAAGAGUUUCCUGACUAGCUGGGGAGACAAGGUCCCCAUUUUCAGGGGCUUGUCAUUUCUCUGUUCACAAGCAGUGUAUCCUCCUCAGGACAAGGUUGGAUCCAGGAGGAUGACUCCAGAUGGUGAGUUACUUGCCUUUCUCCUGUGUUUCUCUAGUGUGUUGGCCAACACUCUCUUUCUCUCUGUCUCUGUCCUUGCCUCUCCUUGUGCCGUCUCCCUUCAUAGAACAGGGGCAGGAGUGCUAGGUGUGCAUCCCCACAGGCUUGGUCUUGGGAGUUAUGAACAAGUAGGAGGGGAUGAAAAUCAUGCAGGAUAGUGGGCACUAGUGGAGCAGCGUCUGUGGAUGUUGACUCAGUCUCUGUUCAUUGAGUCCAGCGGAUAUAGAUGGAAUGGGAGCGGGAGGCAGGCUUGAGGACAUUCAUAGAGCACUGUGUAAUGGUGA